UACGAAGGGGGCUAGCGUUGCUCGGAAUUACUGGGCGUAAAGCGCGCGUAGGCGGCUUUGUAUGUCGAUUGUGAAAGCCCCGGGCUCAACCUGGGAACUGCAGUCGAAACUGCAAAGCUUGAAUGUUGGAGAGGUUGGGGGAAUACCUAGUGGAGAAGUGAAAUUCGUAGAGAUUAGGUGGAACACCAGAGGCGAAGGCGCCUGACUGGCCAAACAUUGACGCUGAGGCGCGAAAGCGUGGGUAGCAAACAGG
rnacentral:rRNA from 1 species